rnacentral:rRNA from 1 species
GAUGAACGCUGGCGGCGUGCCUAAUACAUGCAAGUCGAGCGAACGGACGAGAAGCUUGCUUCUCUGAUGUUAGCGGCGGACGGGUGAGUAACACGUGGAUAACCUACCUAUAAGACUGGGAUAACUUCGGGAAACCGGAGCUAAUACCGGAUAAUAUUUUGAACCGCAUGGUUCAAAAGUGAAAGACGGUCUUGCUGUCACUUAUAGAUGGAUCCGCGCUGCAUUAGCUAGUUGGUAAGGUAACGGUGUACCAAGGCAACGAUGCAUAGCCGACCUGAGAGGGUGAUCGGCCACACUGGAACUGAGACACGGUCCAGACUCCUACGGGAGGCAGCAGUAGGGAAUCUUCCGCAAUGGGCGAAAGCCUGACGGAGCAACGCCGCGUGAGUGAUGAAGGUCUUCGGAUCGUAAAACUCUGUUAGUAGGGAAGAACAUAUGUGUAAGUAACUGUGCACAUCUUGACGGUACCUAAUCAGAAAGCCACGGCUAACUACGUG